UGUGAUUGUUUUCUCUGUCUCAUGUUGAUAUUUCUCCUGCUUCAAAACCCCCAUUCUUUCCCUGCCCCUUUUUCUGUCUGUGUGUGUGUUGUGUGUCUUUGUAUGUGUCUCUGGCUUUGUCUGUCUCUGUCUUCCUGUCUCUGAUCAUCUCUCAACACCUACAGUGCAGGAGGCAGUGGGGAAGGAGAGGGGUAAUGUCUCUUUCUUUCUCCCUUUCCCCUCUGUUUGCUCUUAUUGCCUGUCCUUCUCAUUACAUGCCUGUCCUCUCCUUCUGUGGACUGAUCUUUCUGUCUGAUUGUCCGUCCAAACGUCCCUCACACAUAGGACACAAGCCAAGGGCGAGGUCAUGUCAUUCUUUAGCCAGCGGCAGUAACUUAAUCUUACAGUUAAUCAACUCUUGGUUCAUUCUACAGUAUGUGGACACCUAAAUGUGUUAACAUACGUGUUUGUGUCUAUGUGUACGUGUUUGUCUCUUUGUUUCUGUGUCGGGCCUUCGAAAACGAUUUCUUUAAAAUGUCCAACAAGUGUGGUAUUACUGAUUUACAGCAGGUAAAAUGGCCAUGAAUACUUUAGUCUAAGUGUUAAUUAUUUCGGAAAGGCAGCUUUUAAAUAUAGGGUACAACGGGGCUAAAGGCGCCAUUUAUAUUAUUUUCAUCUAAACCACUAGAUGGCAGAAAAAAAACGUGGUGUAGCACUUUGCAAAACAUCGGCAUUUCAAGAUGCAUGUGUUCAUUUGUCUGAUCUUUGACGCGUUCACGCAAUAGCAAAAACUUGAUUCGGUGCUUACUAGAUUUAAUAUUUUAUGUUUUUAAAAAUGUUGAAGUUUUAAGUAGAAAAUGAGAAUUGCUCAAAUUAUUGCGUAUAUGUUGAGACAAAGGUCUUCUUUACGAUUUUCCGUUUUGUUUUUAAAUAAGCAGAAAAUAGAACAAACUUUGCUAAAGUGAUUAACUUGGACAUUAUUUAAAAAAGAAAAGAAAAGAAAAAACUGAAGCAUUUGUAUCAAUUCCACUUUUGCAGAGCUGCACAUUUAAAUCCAGUGAAAAAAAGACAACACAGAAUGCAUUAGGACCUAUUAGGGCUGGACAGGGUCUUUGGCCAGAAAGAUAACGCCAUAAUGGAAUUACAGACAAUCAAACUGCUCACCUCCUAGAAGGGCACAGUCCAACUGAGAUGUGUAUCACCAUUUUGAUGAACACAAGAUCCAAUUAGGCAGUCUAUUUAUUGCGGCAAAAAUUCAGCUGAGAGAAAAAAGAAGUGAGAGAGCGAGAAACUGCAUAGCUACAAAGUUCAGAGAAACAGAUGCCAGUAUGCACUUCCCCAUGCUGGCAUAUAGAGACAGAAAGCUGGAUAACAAAUACAUCUGCGUUAAAACAUUGUGAAUCAGUUGGCUAUUUGCUUCUGUUCAAUAAAAUUCUAGAAACAAGAAGUAGAGAUCAUUCAUAUUCACAUUAGACAGUUUUCAAGCAAUGUGGCAACUUGAUGCGAUGAUUGAUGACUUGUUGAGAAGGUCUCUGUGUUCAAGCCACACACUUGUACACAUUUCCUGAUCUGAGCCUGUGAACUGCUUGAGCUGACAGACUUGAGCCUGCUGGGAGUCUGUUUUAAUUUUUCUUUUGUGCUGAGUGCUGGAUUUCGUCUUAAUGAAUUGGAGUUAAUCAAGUCUCUUUUGCACAUAAUUGUACCAUGUAGAAUAAAUGUGUAAGAAUCACAGACUUCAGCAGAGAUUCGGGUCUCCAUUGCCCUGCAGGUGAAGUGCUUCUGGUCAUGUGACAUAUAUCAUAUGCCAUGUGACGUAUGAGCUCUAAAGCACUGUAUCACGAGAUCAGGCAUGGCAACUAACUCCAGAAGCUGUUACCACAGCGAUGAAGUCACACGCAAUAUGGCAAUGCAUGUUUACUACUCAAAUAGAUUUAGAUUUGUGUGUGAAAGUGUGCAUAUGUGUAUGUUAGCUAGUCUCAGCCUCAGACGACAUGCCCACAGAUCAGCCACAGUCUGUUCGCCAACUAUCUGUGCUUAUUGUAUACUAAAAAAGGCAAGUUUGGACUAAAAUUGACAGUCAAAUCCUCUUCCACAUACUUUCCACAUUGCUUUCUGGGUUUUGUCUGUGUGUAUUGCUGCUAUUUGAAUUCACUUUCAAUGACAGAUUAUUAUUAUAUAGAGUCACCUUCCAUUUUUCAACAGUAUACAUCCCAGUAAUUUUUUCCCCAUAGGAGAUUGUCUUUAUUAAAUUUAUAAAACAGGUCAUGACCCAGAACAACCAUCUACGAGGUGAUUCACAAUGUUAUAAACUUUUAUUUGAAGCCAAAAAUAUAUUUCAAAAUCUGGAAAAAGGACAGUACAAGACUGUGCUUGUACCAACCCGUUCUCAUCAGUCUGCGUAUAAAUAACACGACUUUACACUUUCUAUUUGCGUGUAAUGCAUACGCCAAAUGCCAUUUUUGCGUGCAUAUGAUACGCCAAUCCUUCCCAUUAAUUUCGGUGGAGAGCAGAUGCGUCCAAA